AGGUCAAGCUACAAAGGGCGCAUGGUGAAUGCCUUGGCAUCAGGAGCCGAUGAAGGACGUGAUAAGCUGCGAUAAGCUUCGGGUAGGCGCACAUAGCCUGAGAUCCGAAGAUCUCCGAAUGAGGAAACUCACAUGGGAAACCCCAUGUAUCAUUAAGUGAAUACAUAGCUUAAUGAAGGUAACCCAGGGAACUGAAACAUCUAAGUACCUGGAGGAAGAGAAAGAAAAAUCGAUUUUCUUAGUAGCGGCGAGCGAAAGGGAAAGAGCCCAAACCGGAAACUUGUUUCCGGGGUUGUGGACAUAACAUAAAAGUGGAGGCUAUUGUAACUGAAGAGAACUGGAAAGUUCCACCGUAGAAGGUAAUAGUCCUGUAAGUGAAACGAGAAGACCACGAGUUAUGAUCCAGAGUACCACGAGACACGUGAAACCUUGUGGGAAGCAGGGAGGACCACCUCCCAAGGCUAAAUACUACCUGAUGACCGAUAGUGAAGCAGUACCGUGAGGGAAAGGUGAAAAGAACCCCGGGAGGGGAGUGAAAUAGAACCUGAAACCGUGUGCCUACAACCGCUCAGAGCCCCUUAUGAGGGUGAUGAGGUGCUUUUUGUAGAACGAGCCAACGAGUUACGGUAUGUAGCAAGGUUAAGUACUUAAGGUACGGAGCCGAAGGGAAACCGAGUCUGAAUAGGGCGACUAGUUGCAUGCCGUAGACCCGAAACCGGGUGACCUAUCCAUGGCCAGGUUGAAGCGAGGGUAAAACCUCGUGGAGGACCGAACCACGUUGCUGUUGAAAAAGCAUGGGAUGAGCUGUGGAUAGCGGAGAAAUUCCAAUCGAACCCGGAGAUAGCUGGUUCUCUCCGAAAUAGCUUUAGGGCUAGCGUCGAGUAUGAGUAGUGGAGGUAGAGCACUGAAUGGGCUAGGGGGCAUAGCGCUUACCGAACCUUAUCAAACUCCGAAUGCCACAUACUUUGAGCUCGGCAGUCAGACUACGAAUGAUAAGAUCCGUGGUCAAAAGGGAAACAGCCCAGAUCGUCAGCUAAGGUCCCAAAGUGUAAGUUAAGUGGGAAAGGAUGUGAGAUUUCUAAGACAACUAGGAUGUUGGCUUAGAAGCAGCCAUUCAUUAAAAGAGUGCGUAAUAGCUCACUAGUCGAGAGAUCUUGCGCCGAAAAUGUAACGGGGCUAAACUUACCACCGAAGCUACGGGCUUGAACUUAGUUCAAGCGGUAGGAGAGCGUCGUAACCGGGCUGAAGUCGUACCGUAAGGAGCGGUGGACUGGUUACGAGUGAGAAUGUUGGCAUCAGUAGCGAGAUGUGGGUGAGAAUCCCACAGGCCGAAAACCUAAGGUUUCCUCAGGAA
rnacentral:rRNA from 1 species